rnacentral:rRNA from 1 species
GAUGAACGCUGGCGGCGUGCCUAAUACAUGCAAGUCGAGCGAACAGACGAGGAGCUUGCUCCUCUGACGUUAGCGGCGGACGGGUGAGUAACACGUGGAUAACCUACCUAUAAGACUGGUAUAACUUCGGGAAACCGGAGCUAAUACCGGAUAAUAUAUUGAACCGCAUGGUUCAAUAGUGAAAGACGGUUUUGCUGUCACUUAUAGAUGGAUCCGCGCCGCAUUAGCUAGUUGGUAAGGUAACGGCUUACCAAGGCGACGAUGCGUAGCCGACCUGAGAGGGGGAUCGGCCACACUGGAACUGAGACACGGUCCAGACUCCUACGGGAGGCAGCAGUAGGGAAUCGUCCGCAAUGGGCGAAAGCAUGACGGAGCAACGCCGCGUGAGUGAUGAAGGUCUUCGGAGCGUAAAACUCUGUUAUUAGGGAAGAACAAAUGUGUAAGUAACUAUGCACGUCUUGACGGUACCUAAUCAGAAAGCCACGGCUAACUACGUG